UCCGGUAUGGUGUAUCGGCUAGCAUCGUUCGCUUUCACCGAACAGAGCCGGGUUCGAUUCCCGGUACCGGAA